GACGAACGCUGGCGGCGUGCUUAACACAUGCAAGUCGAACGGAAAGGCCCUGCUUUUGUGGGGUGCUCGAGUGGCGAACGGGUGAGUAACACGUGAGUAACCUGCCCUUGACUUUGGGAUAACUUCAGGAAACUGGGGCUAAUACCGGAUAGGAGCUCCUGCUGCAUGGUGGGGGUUGGAAAGUUUCGGCGGUUGGGGAUGGACUCGCGGCUUAUCAGCUUGUUGGUGGGGUAGUGGCUUACCAAGGCUUUGACGGGUAGCCGGCCUGAGAGGGUGACCGGCCACAUUGGGACUGAGAUACGGCCCAGACUCCUACGGGAGGCAGCAGUGGGGAAUAUUGCACAAUGGGCGGAAGCCUGAUGCAGCAACGCCGCGUGCGGGAUGACGGCCUUCGGGUUGUAAACCGCUUUCGCCUGUGACGAAGCGUGAGGGACGGUAAUGGGUAAAGAAGCACCGGCUAACUACGU
rnacentral:rRNA from 1 species